rnacentral:misc_RNA from 1 species
AUUGAACAUCGACAUCUUGAACGCACAUUGCGGCCUCGGGCAUUCCCGAGGCCACGCCUGUCUCAGGGUCGGUUGAACUUAUCAAUCGUCGGUUGACCGUAUUUGCCGACGCAUUGGAUCGUCGCGGCUCGCGCUGACCGUAAAGGCGCGAUCGGCAUUGACCGUAUUUGUCGUUCGCGCUGCGCAGAGCCACGUCGUCCGAAGUACAGACGGGUCCAAAGCUUUGCCGACCGCACGUCCUAAGUCCGCCUGUCGGACGGGGACGGCGACUCGGACCGUAAAGAGAAGCCGUCGCCUGUUCAUUGGCGGUACGGUUGGCAAAGCUGAGGAACCACGAAGCGGAAAACGCGAGCGUCCAACGUCGUAUUCGGAACGAGCCGGCGGCCUAUUUACGUUGUAGGUCCGUCGCGUCUCGUACCGCUGUCGACCG